ACUCACCAGGUCAGGACACGGUAAGGAUUGACGGACUGAAGGCUCUUUCUCGAUUCCGUGGAAAGUGGUGCAUGGCCGUUUUUGGUUGGUGGAUCGAUCCGUCUGGUUAAUUCCGUUAACGAACGAGACCUCGGCACUCCGAAUAGCGCGGCGGACGUCGCGGCCUCCGGGCCGUCUUCCGCACGAGCUUCUUAGAGGGACCGUCCCCCCGCCGGGGAAGGAGGUGCGAGGCAACGACAGGUCUGUGAUGCCCUUAGAUGUUCUGGGCCGCACGCGCAUUACACUGACGCGUCCAACGGGUGACUCCCGACCCGAAGGGGCCGGGGAAUCCGCAAGGCGCGUCGUGAUGGGGAUUGAACGUUGCAAUUGUUGUUCACGAACGAGGAAUUCCUAGUAGGCGCGGGUCAUCAACCCGCGCCGAUUACGUCCCUGCCCUUUGUACACACCGCC
rnacentral:rRNA from 1 species